GGGGGAACCCUAGUGGAGUGAGAGGAUCUCUCCAUAAGGUGGAUUUAUAUAUAGGGAAUGGUCUAUGGUGGGUUGGAUGACGUUUGUCCGAUCGCGACCCGAUGACCACGAACGAAGGGAGGGGCUAGGUGGGUCUACUGGCUGAGUAGAUGGGAUAGGUGGGAAUGAGAGGGAGGUUUGCGGCCUAACAUAGGUUUUAAAACACCAAAACAUCUGACAUUUAUCCGACUAUAGUGCUGCUAUAGGUUAAAUGGUUGGGGUAUCAAACGACCUCCGAAUGCGACGAAAGACUGCAUGCCAACUUUCAACAUAUUCCGAAAAUGUUU
rnacentral:lncRNA from 1 species